AUUGAACGCUGGCGGCAGGCCUAACACAUGCAAGUCGAGCGAGUGGCGGACGGGUGAGUAAUGUGUGGGGAUCUGCCUGAUGGAGGGGGAUCACUACUGGAAACGGUAGCUAAUACCGCCUUCCAUCCGAUGAACCCAUAUGGGAUUAGCUUGUAGGUGGGGUAACGGCUCACAUAGGCGACGAUACCUCGCUGGUCUGAGAGGAUGAUCAGCCACACUGGGACUGAGACACGGCCCAGACGCCUCCGGGAGGCAGCAGGGGGGAAUAUUGCACAAUGGGCGCAAGCCGGAUGCAGCAAGGCCGCGGGUAUGAAGAAGGCCUUCGGGUUGUAAAGUACUUUCAGUCGGGAGGCGUUACCGGCAGAAGAAGCACCGGCUAACUCCGUGCCAGCAGCCGCGGUAAUAC
rnacentral:rRNA from 1 species